AAUGAACGCUGGCGGCGUGCCUAAUACAUGCAAGUCGAGCGAGAAGACGUAGCAAUACGUUUGUAAAGCGGCGAACGGGUGAGGAAUACAUGGGUAACCUACCCUCGAGUGGGGAAUAACUAGCCGAAAGGUUAGCUAAUACCGCGUAUGCUCCUUGGACUUCGGUUCAGGGAGGAAAGCGAUAUCGUGGGUAUCGCGCUCUUGGAUGGGCUCAUGUCCUAUCAGCUUGNGGUGAGGUAACGGCUCACCAAGGCUUCGACGGGUAGCUGGUCUGAGAGGACGAUCAGCCACACUGGCACUGCGACACGGGCCAGACUCCUACGGGAGGCAGCAGUAAGGAAUAUUGCGCAAUGGGCGAAAGCCUGACGCAGCGACGCCGC
rnacentral:rRNA from 1 species